rnacentral:rRNA from 1 species
GAUGAACGCUGGCGGCGUGCCUAACACAUGCAAGUCGAACGAAGCACUUUAGCUUGAUUCUUCGGAUGAAGGCUAUUGUGACUGAGUGGCGGACGGGUGAGUAACGCGUGGGUAACCUGCCUCAUACAGGGGGAUAACAGUUAGAAAUGACUGCUAAUACCGCAUAAGACCACAGAGUCGCAUGGCUCAGUGGGAAAAACUCCGGUGGUAUGAGAUGGACCCGCGUCUGAUUAGGUAGUUGGUGGGGUAACGGCCUACCAAGCCGACGAUCAGGAGCCGACCUGAGAGGGUGACCGGCCACAUUGGGACUGGGACACGGCCCAAACUCCUACGGGAGGCAGCAGUGGGGAAUAUUGCACAAUGGGGGAAACCCUGAUGCAGCGACGCCGCGUGAGCGAAGAAGUAUUUCGGUAUGUAAAGCUCUAUCAGCAGGGAAGAAAAUGACGGUACCUGACUAAGAAGCACCGGCUAAAUACGUGCCAGCCGCCGCCGUAA